GGCUAACGAGGCCUAAAUGUGAAAUAGUAAAAUACAGCCAAGCAGCCAUCUGCUAACUAGAAAUCACAUAGGUACUCCUGAGUUCCCAGAAAUCCAACACCUCUGUUUGACUUGGUGACUUUCAGAGCACGCCUAAACCAACCAAUCAGAGCCCACCUGCCUUGACCAAUCAAGGCUCAGCUGUAUCAACUAAUUGGAACUACCUGAGUCUGAAUCUCUCAUUUGCAUAAAUGGACCUGAUUGGGAACCUGGGUGGAAACUUUUGCUACAGAACCCCAACCCUCCCUUUGUGCUCUGGAACACAUCUUGUUUUACACUGAAGGCUGCAUCUCCCUGGUUUGCAAACUAUUCACUGGAAUAUAAAGUCUCUUUCCUCCAGUUUCCUUUCCAGAGAAUUUUGUUCACAGUGCUGAGACAAAGACCUACCAGACUCUUGAUUGAGGGUCAUACUCUAAGAGCAGGGCAAACUAGAGAUAGAUAGGCAAUUUUUUU
rnacentral:lncRNA from 10 species